rnacentral:misc_RNA from 1 species
GAUGAAGAACGUAGCGAAAUGCGAUAAGUAAUGUGAAUUGCAGAAUUCAGUGAAUCAUCGAAUCUUUGAACGCACAUUGCGCCCCUUGGUAUUCCGAGGGGCAUGCCUGUUCGAGCGUCAUUAUAACCCCUCAAGCUCAGCUUGGUGUUGGGGCCUGCUGCACUGGCAGCCCUUAAAAUCAGUGGCGGCGCCAUCUGGCUCUAAGCGUAGUAAUUCUUCUCGCUAUGGAGUCCUGGUGGAUGCUUGCCAUCAACCCCCAAUUUUUCUAUGGUUGACCUCGGAUCAGGUAGGGAUACCCGCUGAACUUAAGCAUAUCAAUAAGCGGAGG